UGAGGCUCAACCCAAAGAUGUUGUCAAGGUGU
rnacentral:piRNA from 1 species